GUUUUGGGCCCCUUAAGACACAUGCUCAUGGAUUGGCCCUAAGUGCACAGGCCACUCAAUGGGCCCCAGUGUAACCGCAAGCUUAGCAGUGCCUGUAGUUCCACCACUGCGCCUUCCUUAUUACAGGCAAAACACCUUUUCAGGAGAUGAAAGAUCAAUUUCAAUUGUGUUUAGAAGGGGCUGUGGUGACGUGUGUGUAUAUAGUAGUCUGUUUAUGGUGUACUAUAUGUAACUAGGAGCUGCAAUGUGAGCACAUGCUCACAUAUAGGAGCUUUUGAGAAUGUGUGUGUGCUGAGAGGGCUUGUAAAGUGCGUGCAUCUAGGGACAACAGUGUGAGUGUAUGUAUAUUGGGGUUGCAUUGAGUGCUUAUCAAUGAGCAGGU